rnacentral:miRNA from 1 species
UCUAUUAGGUUGGUGCAAAAGUAAUUGCAGUUUUUGCAGUUAAAAAAAUGGCAAAAAUCACAAUUACUUUUGCACCAACCUGAUAC